GGAGGAAAAGAAACCAACAGGGAUUGCCUUAGUAGCGGCGAGUGAAGCGGCAAAAGCUCAAAUUUGAAAUCUGGCACCUUCGGUGUCCGAGUUGUAAUUUGAAGAUUGUAACCUUGGGGUUGGCUCUUGUCUAUGUUUCUUGGAACAGGACGUCACAGAGGGUGAGAAUCCCGUGCGAUGAGAUGCCCAAUCCUAUGUAAGGUGCUUUCGAAGAGUCGAGUUGUUUGGGAAUGCAGCUCUAAGUGGGUGGUAAAUUCCAUCUAAAGCUAAAUAUUGGCGAGAGACCGAUAGCGAACAAGUACAGUGAUGGAAAGAUGAAAAGAACUUUGAAAAGAGAGUGAAAAAGUACGUGAAAUUGUUGAAAGGGAAGGGUUUGAGAUCAGACUCGAUAUUUUGUGAGCCUUGCCUUCGUGGCGGGGUGACCCGCAGCUUAUCGGGCCAGCAUCGGUUUGGGCGGUAGGAUAAUGGCGUAGGAAUGUGACUUUGCUUCGGUGAAGUGUUAUAGCCUGCGUUGAUGCUGCCUGCCUAGACCGAGGACUGCGAUUUUAUCAAGGAUGCUGGCAUAAUGAUCCCAAACCGCCCGU
rnacentral:rRNA from 1 species